AUGUGGUUAAAAAUAGAACAUUGUUUGGGCUGCACCUGAGAAUGUCAUUCACAGUGUUUGUAAGAAAGGACCAGGAGUGUGCACACCCGGGCGCUCAGGUGGGCUGCUUGGAAAAGCACUGCUCCGGACUCCGCUCUGUGCCUCCUUUGAGCCCAUUCGGUAGGAUGCCAGGAAAAGAUGAGCAUGGAGACCUGAGAAGCCAUUUCUUAAAGAUGGCAGAGCCACAAGAUAGAAGGAAGCUGGGCCUCUGAAUCCAUCUUGGAGGAAAGAGACUUACCAUCCAGGAACACCAGUUUUAGAUUUGAAAACAAGAAAUAAAAUUAUAUUGUAUUUAA